rnacentral:lncRNA from 1 species
AAAUAUCAAGAGAUGAGUGUUUGUAUUUGGGUAGGUUUUGUGUGAUUUUAAUAAUUAUUUUAAUUUUAGAAAUUUUCAAGGUAGUGAAGAAGGCUCAUGAAAGGCUCAAGGUAUGUGCCCAUUUCUCUGGUUCAUGGACUUCAAUUUUACUGGUAGAUAUCUAAAAAUAGCAGAUCUAUGUACCGUGCCAGCUUAUUUUUUUCCUCUAUCCAAUUAAUCUGCAUUUUAAUUUGUUCAGGUCUAAUUUUGAUUGAAUUGUAUGGGUUUUGAAGUAAAUUGCUUUGAUUAUUAAGUAAGAUUUAUUGGAACUGAUAGUUGACAUUUUCUGAUGUGUUGCCAUAAUUGAAGCACAGUAAUAGUGUUUUGUAUCUUGUGAAUGGUAUACUUUAUUUUGUCAAUUAUUGUAUCAAAAGAUGAGUAUAUUUUUUAUUUUCAUGUUAAUUUGAAAUGUUGCAACAGAUGAAACUUAAACUGGAUAAGCUUCUUUCGAAUUUUGCAGAAUUUUCAGUUAUGAUUCUUUUUACUGAAUAGAUAUUUUAACUUUAAGUUUCUUUCUUCAUCAUUUAUGGGUUGAUGACAAAAGUUCUGGUGCUGGUUCCCGUUCGUUCUAUUACAGAUUUUCAACUGCUCGCAAAAGAUUCAUCAGCCUUGAGAAAUUUUGAAGUUAUUGACACCAGAUGGUCUUUUACAUUUGAUAUCAGUUAAGCAAAAAAUAAAAACAUGUCUCAUUAUUGCCAGAAAAUUUCCUUGCAAGAGUUUCAUGGUAUACCACAAUCCAUACCUCUGGAUGAUUCUGCUUGUCUCUGUCUUGGAGUUAGUCGUUAUCGAGUUUAUGUAACUAGUGCAAUAGAAAUUAUUGCUGGUGAAGUGAUUUUCUGUCAUAAACGUCAGUAAAAAAUUGAUAUAUGUACUUGUUUUAGUGCUUUACAUAAUGUAAGUUGGAAUUUUACUUUGCAGGUAUAGUUAAGUCUCUUCAAGCAAUUAACUCGACUUCUUGGUAUGAAAUCUUUUUUGGACUUAAGUAAGGGCUUGGACGAGGAACAAGGUGAGUCUCUUUAUGGUGCCUGUGGAGAGAAUUAUGCGUAAGAUGAAUUUUGGAUAUGCUGUGAUGUAUGUGAUAAGUGGUUCCAGGGUAAGUGCGUGAAGAUUACACCAGCUAGAGCUGAGCAUAUCAAAGCAGUAAGAGUGUUCAUCGUGUAGUAACAAGAUGGCCCGUGCUUGAUGUGGAAUAUAAAUCAUACUACCUGUACUCUUGAUAAACUUUUCAUGUCAUUGCUGUUUAAGUCAUUUCUUGUUUAGUGUUACAUGCAGAAUUAACCUUGAGAAUGGUUCUCUUUUUUAUGUAGCGACAAUUAAUACUUGAAAUAUGUGCAAUACAAUUUUACUUCUGCGGCA